rnacentral:lncRNA from 1 species
GUAAAUAAUUGCAUUAGAUUUUAGAAAAAGUGUGAAAUCUUUAGCAUAUAACAAAUAGAGAUGCAAAAUACAGAGAAAAUCCUUGAUCAGUUUUCAUAAUUACUAUAUGAAUGACUAGUUAUUUUCUACAGGUGGCACUUUCAGUGAAGUUUUUCUUUUUUUCUGUUUAACAGGUAGCUGAAUCACUAGGAAUUACAGAUUGUUGUCUUGAAGUGACAAAGAUACAGACAAAUUCUUUUCCUGAAUGUACUGAAUCUACUGAUGAGCCUAUAUUGCUCCAUAUCUCAGGACAGAAAUGAGCAGCUGAGGUAUAAAAUAAACAAAUUUUGUCAUGAACUGUACAGCAAAAAUUAUUCUGCAAAAAUAUGGGGGAAAAAUAUGAAUUGCUCCAAUCAAGAAUUGUGGAAGAUAAAUACAGAUUUAUGUGAUCGACACACUCAAGAAAAAUUGAAUAUUUACAGCCUUUAAGUACACCAAGAUUAGAUUAUUUGAGAUGCCCAACGGACCAUAGAGGACAUUCACAAGAAGAACAAAGAUAAAGUCAAGUUGGGACACAGUAAACAAAAUGACUUAUUAUAUCUCUUGAAACAUCUGAAAAAUACAGUCAUCGUUCUCCUUGAUUUCUUCAUGAAAAAACAGUGAAAAUAAAAUAUAUCAAGAACUUAAGAAAAAAUGCUGU